AACGAACGCUGGCGGCAGGCUUAACACAUGCAAGUCGAGCGCCCUGCUUGCAGGGAGCGGCAGACGGGUGAGUAAUGCAUGGGAAUCUACCCAGCUCUACGGAAUAACUCAGGGAAACUUGAACUAAUACCGUAUGCGCCCUUCGGGGGAAAGAUUUAUCGGAGUUGGAUGAGCCCAUGUCUGAUUAGCUAGUUGGUGGGUAAAGGCCUACCAAGGCGACGAUCAGUAGCUGGUCUGAGAGGAUGAUCAGCCACACUGGGACUGAGACACGGCCCAGACUCCUACGGGAGGCAGCAGUGGGGAAUAUUGGACAAUGGGCGCAAGCCUGAUCCAGCCAUGCCGCGUGAGUGAUGAAGGCCCUAGGGUUGUAAAGCUCUUUCACCGGUGAAGAUAAUGACGGUAACCGGAGAAGAAGCCCCGGCUAACUUCGUGCCAGCCGCCGCGGUAAUU
rnacentral:rRNA from 1 species